CAAGAAUUAACUUUAGCCAAAUGAUGCUGAGACAGAAGCCUGACAGAAAAAGAGAAUCUCGUUUCUGAUUUGGCCCUAAGUGAAGCUGCAGUCAAUCCACAGUUGGGUCGGUGGCCCUCUGGGUGCGGAGGGAGGUUCGUGUGAGCGUUGUCCUGGGAGGUUCUUAGGGUCCUGGGGACAUCCCAUAUGCCAACUGUGGUACUGGUUUCAAUGAUGUGCACAUAAGUAAGCCAAAGCUCACUGAAUCAGGGCUAGAGAUGUAUGUAGUUCCCUGAAUGUUCACGCUUAGUGUGCAGCAGGUCCCGGGCUGGAUCCCUGGUAUCCCAGUCACACACACACACACACACACACACACACACACACACACAACACACACCCUUUACCAAAUUGCCAAGGAUUUUGCGUUAAUUUUCUCUCACUAAAGCUGUUAAAAUGAAUAAUAUUUAUAAGUGAGGAAGAAAAUGUUUCUAUCCCAGGAACACACACAUUCACACACACACACACUAACAUUCCGCAAGGAGGAUGAUUCAAGGGGCCAUAGGAUGCCAAAGUUGUCUCAGCUUGUUUGAUCUUUUGCCUUUCCAUAUCAAAAUUUUCAAAAUCAGUUUUGCAACUUCUAAAGAUAAGGCAGCCGGGUUUUGCUUAGCAACUGCACUGGAAUAUCAAUCAGUGAGGGUGUGACGUUUUGCUAGUCUUGAGUCUUCCCGCUUAUAAAUAAGGCACGCUGUUCACUUAGCGAAUAGCUGUCUAGUUUAUGUUGUAGUCUAUUACAGUUUCCAGUGACAGUCAGAGUAAAGUGAACCAUGACCCUCACCGGAGCAAGUCACCCUUAACUUCAUCUGCAGGACCUGGAUGUGACCCUCAUGUGCAAGAAAGGGCUCUCCAGAUAGACUUAAGCACCUUAGAAGCAUCAAUCAAGGUUACCCAGACGGCCAUGCAGCCAUAGAGCUCAUGUAGGGGAAGAGGGGAAGAGGGGGGCGGGGCCAUGGAGAAGAUGGGUGUGAAGAUGGUGGCUAUGGAGACGGAUACUGAAGCGAAUCAGUAUUGUAGCAACAAGCCAAACACUGCGGACGCUGGGUGCCAACGAAGGUGAGAGGGAUUCUGAAGGAACCAUAGCCCUCCUGACAUGCCACUCAGGCUCACGAACUGAGGGGAGCCUUGAGAGAACUCAUUUCCGAGAGCUCGGGUCCUUCUAACACGCUCUUCAUCACGACUGGCCUGUUCUCAGCCACGUCCAGCAGCAGCUGCAGACUAGGUGGACGAUCUUGGGCACAUACUUCAGAAGGCGCGCCUCGUAACCAUGAAGCAGAUGACGCUGGCGCAUCAGCCUGGAAGACAAAGUCCUCUCCGAGUGGGAUAAUCGGGGUGGGGAGAAACUUACUGCCCGCCUCCAUAAAUGCCUCUGGAAGCUCAGAGGAUGGGCGAGCCAUGGCCAGGAUAUUGUCAGUGACCCUGAAGAUGGGCACGGAACAACUGAGAAGCACAGAACUCAGGAGAGUCUACACUACAGGAUUGGCUGUGCUCGCGCUCUCCUGUGCUCGCUGCACAAAUGGUAUUUCAGUGGUUGCGGACGGAAGCAUAGCUACUGCUCGAGAUGAGGCACCAAUCUACGCUUUUAAAAUUCCACCCUCAGAGCCCUGCAUCGUGUACUUUUGUGAAACAAGACGGAGACAGAGAAGUCUAAUUUGAUGCCCCAAUUGCUACUUUAUCUGUAGUCUCACACGGAAAUGGAAAAGGAUGAGGAUUCCACCUGCCUCUCCCACCUUCAGAAAGUACUUACUCUGCCUGAGAGAAUGGCCUGAAAAGUGUUCUAGUUACUACUACUACUGGACCUUUAGAAUUACUGGACCUUUAGAGGAAACCAUGGAAGAUACUGGAAGAAAGCAAGGAGGGACCUGAAGGCAGGAGGCCCUGUGGGCUGUGCCUGUUUCUCUGGUGACUGAGAAGACCUUGGAGCAGGCCCCUGGUAUUCUGGGCAGGAGACAGCUGGUUCACACUAACUGAUAUCCAGGCGGUAGGAGAAACCCUCAAGCUCUGUGGCAGGCACAGAUAUUUAAGGCAACAGGGAGGAGGUGCCAGUCAGUGAGUGAUUCCAGAAAACAGGCAAUGAAGGAUGUCUACAGAGGGAGCUAGAAGUGGCUCUGCUCCACACUGUACUAAAAUCCAAAGUGAUCUGAUGUGGGGGAUUUGCUUGGACUAAGCUAAGGGAGGGAUGGUUUCUAUAUCACCUCAGAAACAGCUCUGCAGCUCACACUCACAUGGCCCAAGGAACAAGAACUCUGUGUUGUAACUCUCCCCCCAAGUUUUGAGAUACUUCAAAAAGAUACUAUAAUGAAAACCCAAGGGUCUGUGUUAUGCACUGCUCAGCAAAUAGAAUUGCAGAGUCUACUUUAAAAUGGGUCAUCAGAGAUGCCAGCAAGAACAAUUUUCAGUGGACUGCAGAGGCAGAGGCCAGAGUUGAUGUGAGGUUGGACAAGCAACAGAGGUGGCUGUGAGUCAGCAGAGGUGUUAUAAAGUUUAGCUGUGACAGGAAGAGAAAGGCCUCGGAAGAAGUAGAGGGAAAGGUCUAGAGACAACCAUAGGUAGUAAGAAUAUGGGUGGGGGCUGAGUUAAAAUCAGGACAGUGUUGGAGAAGUUCUGUCUUUAGAUAUUUGAAAACACUCCAAGUUCAAGGAAUGCCUUGAGGGGAGGAAUUAGGAUUAAUACUGAUAGAGAAGCAGACUCCGACCCAACACUAGUUGUUUUACAGGUAGUGAAAGGAACGCACAGCUGGAAAGUCAGCACCACUGGCAAACUCUGCAUGUGGCUCUUCUGUAGACCUAAGAACAUGAGUGCGUGGACCUCUCCUCCCUGGAACACCUACAAGGAUUCCUGCCAUAUGGGUUUGUCUGACAGGAAACAGCCCUUGUUGAAACCCUGAAAUCGGAAGAAAACGCCCAGUCCUUGGAGGGCCAGGCCUCCUGGGAUGCCUGGGAUUUGAACUACUACUGGAACAAUCAAAGAGGAAAAGCCGAGUACACACUUGCUCCUGCUGAACUGGCUCGUUUUCCUUGUGCUGACCGAGAGAAUGUGUACUUUUGUGUUUGUAUGUGAGAUCGCAUUUUUCUCCUGAAGUAUUACUCUAAGCUUGGUUCUGCCUAGCUGCAAGCAGGCAGUGGCCACACGAGCUGCUAGCUCAGACCCUGGCCAGGCAUCUGCCAUCUCCACACUCUAAGGAAGUGGCUAUGGCAGGGGCCUAAGGGCACGGGAUGGUCCUGUGGGUUACAUCUGAUUUUGAAUUCCUGCUUUUUUCUUGUAGCACGUCUUCUUUUUCUAACAGUAGUGUGUUUGGAAGUGGAGAGAGGAGAGAGAUGGGAGCUGAAUGGCGUGUCCUCUGCUUUAUGUUCACAAAGUGAAGAAAGCUGAACGUUCUCUCCACGUGCUUAUGCGGACACUGCAUUGCCAGCGGAGGGAAGCACAGGUUAGCUGUUAGAAGAGUGUGAGGACAUGGCAGCAGUGUGGUGCUUGUGAUCUGCACAUACAUUCAAUAAUGAAGAAGACAGACGCUCAAGGACGAGCAGGCUGUGCAAGUGGUAACGUGCUGGAGAUUCACUCUGUAAAACCUCCUCACCUGCGAAGUGUCCUGGAAAGCACAGUCCUUCAAAAAAUUACUCUCAUACUAAAAUAUUUCCAUGUUAUGUAAGACAUGAAAUGGGUACUGAAGUUGCCUAUUGAUUCUGUCACCUAAAAACGCGGCUUUGGGGUUAACGCUUGUGUGUGGCAUAAGGCACAGUCCCACCACAGUCUUUCUGCAUGUGAAUGGGCCAGUGGUUUGUCAUCCUUUGUUGAACAGACUAGCAUCGCAUGUGGAAUUGUCCUGCUACCUUUGUCAUACACACAAAGAUGAUUUCUGGUUCAUUCUAUUAUACUAUAUUUGUCAUUAUUUUGAUGAAAUAGCAUUGCAUGAAAGUUUUUAGGCUAGGAAAUGAAUCUGUUUUGUUAUUUCUCAUGAUUAUUUUGCCUGUUUGAAGGUCCUUUGAGAUUCUUCCUACAAUCGGCAUGGGCUUUUCUUUCCCAUGCCCAGGGGAUUCUGAUGGGGAUUGUGCUCACUCUGUAGAUCAUAUUACAUCAAAACAGUGCUGUUUUCUGGUUCAUGCAUAGCCAGUCA
rnacentral:lncRNA from 1 species